GGCGACGUACCCAAGUGGUUAAGGGACCGGUUUGCAAAACCGUUAUUCGUCGGUUCGAAUCCGACCGUCGCCUCCA
rnacentral:tRNA from 1 species